GCUCCCAUGGCGUAGUGGUCACUGCACUCGCCUUGCUCACGAGAGACCCGGGUUCGAUUCCCGGCAGGGUCA
rfam:Asian citrus Psyllid, Diaphorina citri - Florida Strain, whole genome shotgun sequence.